AUAUACACCGUAUACUACAGUAUAUACACAGUAUACUACAGCAUAUAUACAGUACACUACAGCAUAUACACGGUAUGCUACAGUAUAUACAUGGUAUACUACCGUAUAUACAGUAUACUACAGUAUAUACACGGUAUACUACAGCAUAUAUACAGUAUACCACAGCAUAUACACAGUACACUACAGUAUAUACACAGUAUACUACAGUAUAUACAUGGUAUACAGUAUAUACACAGUAUACCACAGCAUAUACAUGGUAUACUACAGCAUACACACAGUAUACUACAGCAUAUACGCAGUAUACUACAGUAUAUACACAGUAUACUGCAGUAUACUACGGUAUAUAUACGGCAUACUACAGUAUAUGCACAGUAUACUACAGUGUAUACACAGUACACUACAGCAUAUACACAGUACACUACAGUAUAUACAGUAUACUACAGUAUAUACACAGUAUGCUGCAGUAUGCUACAGUAUAUACACAGUACACUACAGUAUAUAUACAGUAUACCACAGCAUAUACAUGGUACACUACAGUAUAUACACAGUAUACUACAGUAUAUACAUGGUAUACUACAGUAUAUACAUGGUAUACUGCAGUAUAUAUGCAGUAUACUACAGUAUAUAUGCAGUAUACUACAGUAUAUACACAGUAUGCUACAGUAUAUAUACAGUAUACCACAGCAUGUACACAGUAUACUACAGUAUACACACAGUAUACUACAGUGUAUACACAGUAUGCUACAGUAUACACACAGUAUACUACAGUAUAUAUACAGUAUACAGCAGUCCCUAAGUGACAGAAGCUGUGGGAACUCGGGCAAUCUCCGCAACCCCUCAACAAUCUCCAGUGUGGUCAUCCCCCUUUCAUUCAUAAAGACACCAAGGCCCAGGGAGGGGAAAUACCCUACCUGCCAUUUCAUUCAUAAAGACACCAAGGCCCAGGGAGGGGAAAUACCCUGCCUGCCAUUUCAUUCAUAAAGACACCAAGGCCCAGGGAGGGGAAAUACCCUGCCUGCCAUCAUCUGACUGGGCACAGGCAGCAGGUGGCAGGCCAGCGGGCAGAGCGGGCACUGGGACAGCGGCGUAGCAGGCUCGAGAGGGGUCAGCAGGGGCCCUGUCCCUGAAAGGCAGGUUUGGAAGGAUGAGGAGUUGGCUGGGUCAGCAGGAGAAAGUAGAGUCUGCGGAGGACCAGAAGGCAGGCACAGGGGCAGGGUGGCUGGAGCAGGCAGUGUGGACAGACGCCCACGCUGCGCCUGCAGAAAGACUAGGGAGUGCCAGCCCGUGACUGCCCUGUGUCUUGUUGAAACCACGGGGGAUCACGAGGGUUUUACAGGGAGUAGCUGGAUUGCACCUGCUGUUCUCAGGUCACUCGGGCUGAAGUGGGGACACGGAGACACAGGGGACUGUGCUGGGGACCAGAGUCCAGGCUGAUGCAAGGUGCUACCACAGAAGCCUGGGAGGGAACAGCAGAAUGGGUAGGACUAGCAGUGGUGGUGGGACUCCAGGCUGGAGUUCACGCUCCUUUCUGGGAAUAAUGGAGACCUGAGGCCUUUGUGCAGGCGCCACUGUUCCAGGCAGCCGGGGACAAGCCGCUGACUGAAACCCUGUAGAGAAGCAAGGUGAUUCCUCCGGGAGGCCCUGGGCUCCUCCAGUCCAGCAAUCCCGGAGCUUCUGGGCAGUGUGGGUGGGGCGGGGAGCACAGCUCCUGCUGGGGGAAGGCGGCCUUGCUCCAGGAUGGUGCUGGAGCGCCCCAAGGGAUCCAGACCGGAAGUGAACUGAGGCGAAGACAGGGAGGAAGCUGUCGGGGAUCUUACUGAAGACCUCCGCAGAGGCCCACCUCAAGUACUGUACAGGAAACACGGAAGAUCCAGGAGACAAUGGAAGAAUGAGGAGAGGCCAUCAGUGCAGACCAUAGGGAACAGAGAACUUCUAAGGCAUGGAAGGGGAAAAAAAAACCUGAAAAGGAAAAGAAUGAAAAGCUGACUUUACUGCAUUUGCAAGGACUGUGCAGCUAAGCAUAAUUUUAAAAAAAUUACUUAUUUAUUUGAAAGGCAGAGUUGGAGUGAGAGAUCUUUCAUCUGCCGUUUCAGCUCCCCGGAUGGCCUUAAUCAGAGUCAGGAACACCACCAGAGUUUCCACGUGGGUGCAGGGUCACAAGCCCUUGGUUCAUCCUCUCCUGCUUUCCUAGGCGCAUUGGCAGGCAGCUGGAUCGGAAGAGGGGCAGGCAGGACCAGUGCCCAUAGAGGCUACUGGCGACCCAAGCAGCGGCUUAACCCGCUGUGCCCCAGCCCUACGUAUAACCUGGUUAACUGAGAUUCAGGAUGAGUCACGUGGAACACAGUAAAAGCAUAACUAUUAAGGGGAAUGGCCUGCCGCCACCUGCAGGGGCACCGGGGCAGGGUCCUUCCCGUAACGUGCGUGUCUCGGUGUGUUCGUGGUGGACAGUCAGCGGAGCGCGGCGAGGCCUGACCUUUGGUCCCAGCUCCGCCUCUAAGCGGCUGUGCAGCCCAGUCUGCAUCCGUCAAAGGGGAACCACGGCCCGCACCUCCAUGGGCAAACCCGCGCGUGCAAAUGGCCCGGCUCGGCGCCUCAGGGACCCGCACGGCCUGCGGCGCCGGGCUUAGCCGCGGAGGCGCGGGGGACCGGGCACCGGGCAUCCCCGCGCGCCGCUGACCCCGCCCGCCCGGCCUCUC